rnacentral:lncRNA from 1 species
CAACUGAAAAAUUGAGAAUUUCACCAGGUUCCCUCCUCAUUGAUAGUCUCUAGUUUUUCUUUUCUUUCCAGGCUUUUGAAACUGCUCAACCUACUCAGUGGCUCAUCCAUCACUGAUGAAAAUGUGCUAAAUGACAGACUGUCCCUCUGCACUUCUCAUCAGGAUCUUAGAUUUCUGUGCUUACAAAGAGAAAAUAGCAGAUGUCGUGCUUGGAGAAGGGAAGUGACUUUGUUCAGCUAAGUAUGACAGAUAAACGUGGAAAAAAAAUGCCGUUUCCCAAUCUUAAAAGAAAUCACCAUCACGAGGCAUCCUCAGAACAAAGCAAGACUGAGAAAUGAAUGCCUGUUUCUGUCUUCACAUAUAAUUUGCUGGGGGAUUUUUGCAGAAGCUAAGGCCUAUUGCUGGUGAUUUGUUAUGUAAGUGAAUACUGAAACAUCUCUGGUCAAUAUAAUUUGGGUAACAAAAGAUAUACGUCUUUGGUCAGUAAGUGGUCAAUAAGAGAUGAUAGAAAUUAUGUGCGAAUAUUUACCUAACACUUGAAAUCAAAAAUUUUAAGGCAAUAGGAAGUAGGACCUGAUUAAUUUUCUAUAGAAAUGUAUCAUAACAUCUAAGAAGAAAAUGAGGGUUAGAGAGAUCUUUUGAAAGUAAAGGGCAGAGACAGAAUAAGCAACACACCCAAAUGACAAUCCAGGAUAAAGGAGGGAGUGAGGCAGUGGGGUCUAGCUCAGGGUGUGGAGUAAUAUCCUACACCCCUCCUCUUGCUAAACCUCUACAGCUUAGGUAAAUUGCUUAUGUCUUUGAGUAAAAAAAAAAAAAAAAGCAUAAAACUUCAUUGGAGUCCUGUAUGUGUUCAGUCAGGUCGCAGUGACCCUUGAAGUGAUAAACUUGCCCACCAAAAACUUACGUAAUGUUUACGUAAUGGACAUCACAGGCUACUGGUUGCUCAUGACUUGCCUCUGCUUAAGAUGAUGCAACUUAAGGUGUUGCAAGUUUGAUUGCUCAUCCUCCAAGGAUGCUUAAGGACACUUUGUGGGUCAGAAAAUAACUUCUCAGACAGUUUCCUCUCAGAAGAAAAAAAAAAACAAAAAAUAAAACAAGAAUAUUUAAAUGAUACUUUGUCCUU